rnacentral:sRNA from 1 species
UGGCACAGGAGAACGGGCCGUCCCUCGGC